CAAGGAAUCUUCGGCAAUGGGCGCAAGCCUGACCGAGCAACGCCGCGUGGAGGACGACGGCCUUCGGGUUGUAAACUCCUUUUGGGGGGGACGAACCGGACUGUACCCCCCGCAUAAGCCCCGGCUAACUCUGUGCCAGCAGCCGCGGUAAUACAGAGGGGGCAAGCGUUGUCCGGAUUUACUGGGCGUACAGCGCGCGCAGGCGGCUGCGUAUGUGACCGGUGACAUCCGUGGGCUCAACCCACGGCGGCCCGAUUACACAGCGCAGCUGGAGGCAGGGAGAGGGAUGUGGAAUACCCGGUGGAGCGGUGAAAUGCGUAGAGAUCGGGUGGAACACCAGCGGCGAAGGCGGCAUCCUGGCCCUGACCUGACGCUGAGGCGCGAUAGCGUGGGGAGCAAAC
rnacentral:rRNA from 1 species